rnacentral:pre_miRNA from 1 species
UUCCUACUCCCUCCGUCCGGAAAAACUUGUCCCUCAAAUGGAUGUAUCUAGCACCAAGUUAGUGUUAGAUACAUCCAUUUGAGGGACAAGCUUUUCCGGACGGAGGGAGUACUUC